rnacentral:rRNA from 1 species
GCGGCACGCCUAACACAUGCAAGUCGAACGAAGUAGCAAUACUUAGUGGCAGACGGGUGAGUAACAUGUAGGUAUCUUCCCUUUGGCCUGGAAUAACACGAGGAAACUUGUGCUAAUACCGGAUAAGUCUUUACGGAGAAAGCUUUAUGCACCAUUGGAUGAGCCUGCACUUGAUUAGUUAGUUGGUGGGGUAAUAGCCUACCAAGACUUUGAUCAAUAGCUGAUUUGAGAGGAUGAUCAGCCACAUUGGGACUGAGACACGGCCCAAACUCCUACGGGAGGCAGCAGUGGGGAAUCUUGCACAAUGGAGGAAACUCUGAUGCAGCGAUGCCGCGUGAGUGAAGAAGGCCCUUGGGUUGUAAAGCUCUUUCGUCGGGGAAGAAAAUGACUGUACCCGAAUAAGAAGGUCCGGCUAACUUCGUGCCAGCAGCCGCGGUAAUACGAAGGGACCUAGCGUAGUUCGGAAUUACUGGGCUUAAAGAGUUCGUAGGUGGUUGAAAAAGUUGGUGGUGAAAUCCCAGAGCUUAACUCUGGAACUGCCAUCAAAACUUUUCAGCUAGAGUUUGAUAGAGGAAAGCAGAAUUUCUAGUGUAGAGGUGAAAUUCGUAGAUAUUAGAAAGAAUACCAAUUGCGAAGGCAGCUUUCUGGAUCAUUACUGACACUGAGGAACGAAAGCAUGGGUAGCGAAGAGGAUUAGAUACCCUCGUAGUCCAUGCCGUAAACGAUGUGUGUUAGACGUUGGAAAUUUAUUUUCAGUGUCGCAGCGAAAGCGAUAAACACACCGCCUGGGGAGUACGACCG